UCCCUGGUGGCUCAGAGGUUAAAGCGUCUGUCUUUGAUGCAGGAGACCUGGGUUCGAUCCCUGGGUUGGGAA
rnacentral:tRNA from 1 species